CCAGAAGCCGAAAGGAAGAGGAACGGUCCAGUCAUCAUCAAGAUUGGCGGAGGAGAGGGAGAGAGCGAUAGGAAAGAUGAACGGCGGCGGCAGGAAGUUUGGGGGCGGGCGGCUGCCGACGGGAACGCCAUCGCUGGCCUGGUCAUCGGUGGUCGUGGUCGUCUCCCUCCUUGCGGGGGCCUCCGUCGUCCACAACGUCUACAAGCCCGACAUGACCAUUCCGCAGGUGGAGAUCACCGACGGAGGAGGCGGCGGCAAUGACGGCAAGCAGAGCUGAGCUGGUUUCGCGGAACCAUGUGUGUCUCCAACCGUUUCUGUCAGCGUAUCUCGUUAUGGAGCACAGCACUCCACUCUAGAGGAGCACAGCACUCUGCUAGCUGCUCGUUACCCACUGGAAUCAAACUAACAUUGGUACUAUGAUUUACACAUCUUAUUCAAAGGGAUUUACUCUUUGUUGGACAUAUUAUGUAUAUGUUCAUGUUUUCCGUAAACCAUUGAGAGUUUAAUAAGGAUUUAA